CUGAUUUGCAUGCGUUGGUGGUUGGUUGUGCUGGAAGUGUUUGUCUGCUCAGUGUGAUGCAAUCUCAUGCAAGCUGAAGCGAAAACAAGUUACGUGUGCUUUACAUAUUAGAUGAAAAACUGUUUGACCAUCCACUUCAAUUAAUAUUUACCACCGUUUGUUGGAUCAGAAUAUUCAGAAUAUUCAAGAUCCGUUCUAAUUUAUUACUCUAGCGGUGACUCUGUGAGUUCUAAAAAAGGGGAAAAAAUACGAAAACACCCAAACAGAAACACGGUUCUAUGGUUGCGACUGCAACGGAAACAACACCUGACCGUCAUCACCACCUGACGGCAAUGUUAAUAGGGGUGAACGAUGGAGAGGUUGAAAAAUUAGCCACUAGACGGUUGAGCAGACCCCUUGUCAAAAUUUUGCCGUCCGUUUUGAGAUAGGAGUUUAUAAAUUUAUUUUAAAAAAUUAUUUAGUGGUUUAGGGAAUAUCAAAAUAAUUUAGAAGUAAGUAGUUAAUGGUGGAAAAAAAUCAAAUAUUUUAAAAUAAAUUUAACUAAUUCCUAAGGACAAGAAGGUGUAUUAGAACAACCGUUUAAACGCGUAGAACACAGCAAAGGUUACAUCAAUUACAUCUCACAUGACGGACGUGCGUGUUUUUCCCUCGCUUUGAGCCUCCGACCGUGCGCGCCCAACACGUACAAAGGCCAGCUGAAAAUUACAAACAUCUCCACCGAGCCACAGUCAAUAGCCAUCUCAUAGCCACAACUACGCACAACCCCUUUCUAAACGAGUGAAAGAAAUGGAAAACAAAAUGUUCCCACACGGCUAACAACAAAAAAACCCUCACACCCCCGAGUGACCACUGGAAAACUGAGAGAAAAAGAGAGAGAGAGCACGAGAUAAGAGAUACAGUAACACAACACAACCCUUCCACCUUGCGUGUGCGUGUGGUGGUUGUAAGCGGUUGGCUUUAAGGCUGCGCCCGCGCCGGAACGCGUGCGGCUCCGUCAGUACCGGAUCAGCAUUGCGCGAACACAGUUCGCCGUAGUCUUCGCCGCGGAGUCGUUGCAGUGGAGCAAAACCGCUAAAACAAAAACAAAGCACGCACACACACAAACCCAAUCGAAAUCCCGCAGUGCGUCAGAGCAGAAGAAGUGUGAGCAAACAGGGGUGGAACAACGGGUGAUCGGGUGGCCCCCGAUCGACGACAGCGAUGCACAAAUUUGCAUCCGCACGAGCGCAUCACUAAUUAUCCGGUGCAUUAUACCGUGGCCAGUGGAAAAGGGAAAUUAGUUAACGGCUAAGCGUAAAAAAGGGCCAAGGAUCGGAAGGAAAAACGCGCGCAACAACUCGCUGGGUGGUGUACAAACAAGCAGACGGAAAAUUCACCGUGAGGCGUGUAUGUGAAAAAAUUCCGACUCAGCAUCGAACUACGUGGACCGUGUGCGCAUCCGUGACUCGUCCAACUCGUUCGGAGGGCCGGGCCGAGGAUCCGGGUGGCGUCAGAAGUCCCUGUCGAAUAUAGAUCUACCGACGAGCUACCGUGG